GCCUUCGUGGUGUAGUGGUCAGCACGCUCGACGCAUAGUCGAGAUGUCCGUGGUUCGAGUCCCGGCAAAGGCA
rfam:Stegodyphus mimosarum contig115052, whole genome shotgun sequence.